CCUAAUCAAACACUGAAACAAAAAACGUCAUAGCUAAACAAUCGCGAUGUUGAAGAAUGGAAGAAUCUCUGCUAUCAUAUGAAACCUAGGGUAGCGUUUUCAUUAAACGAUCGCAAUGUUGAAGAAUCUCUGCUAAACGAUUGCAGUUAACUGAAUCUUCUCAGGGAAUCCUCACCUCAUUUUGACGUGUCUGGUAUUCAAGCUAAGAAAUAGUGGAGUUGAAGAUUUAUGUUAAUAGAGUUGAAGAUUUAGAGUGAAAGCUGCAAUUUAACUGCUGCUCAGGCAAUGGAAGUUCUGAAUUUCACUCCUUUAAAUGGCAAACUGAUUCGGAUUAUGUAUUCUAAUUGUAACCCGACUAUUCGUAAAAGCAGCGCAGGCAACAUUUAUAUCAAGAAUUUGGACAAAACAAUUGACAACAAAGCUUUACAUGACGCAUUCUCCACAUUUGGAAAUAUCUUAUCUUACCCGACUAAUAACGAAGGCUCUUUUAUAUUUUGAGAAAAAUAGAAACAAGAUCAGGAGAAGAAAAAAACAAGAAUGGAGGAAGGAGACAGAAAAGAAUCAUCAAAAGAAAUAUAACACUGUUAGGACAACGUUUUGUACACCUUAUGCAACAUAAAAUUUUGUUACUGCUGGACUUAUUGUUAUGUUGAAAAUAUUUUUUUGUGCACCUCACUGCUGGUGCUUUAUAUAGUUCAGCAAGUAAUUGACAAAUUAUGCACAUGUUCAAUAUCUGGAAUCUAUAACUUUGGAAUGAUGAUAUUUUUGUUAA